rnacentral:rRNA from 1 species
AGUGAACGCUGGCGGCAGGCCUAAUACAUGCAAGUCGAACGGCAGCACGGCAGAGCUUGCUCUGUGGGUGGCGAGUGGCGGACGGGUGAGGAAUACAUGGGAAUCUGCCCAGUCGUGGGGGAUAACGUAGGGAAACUUACGCUAAUACCGCAUGCGCCCUUCGGGGGAAAGCCGGGGACCUUCGGGCCUGGCGCGAUUGGAUGAGCCCAUGUCGGAUUAGCUAGUUGGCGGGGUAAUGGCCCACCAAGGCGACGAUCCGUAGCUGGUCUGAGAGGAUGAUCAGCCACACUGGAACUGAGACACGGUCCAGACUCCUACGGGAGGCAGCAGUAGGGAAUAUUGGACAAUGGGCGCAAGCCUGAUCCAGCCAUGCCGCGUGAGUGAAGAAGGCCCUCGGGUUGUAAAGCUCUUUUGUCCGGAAAGAAAGCGCCGGGUUAAUACCCUGGUGUCCUGACGGUACCGGAAGAAUAAGCACCGGCUAACUUCGUGCCAGCAGCC